rnacentral:ncRNA from 2 species
AAAUACUAUUCUCCAUCCUCUCGUAUAACCUUAAUAAUCGGAUUAAGGGUCUCUACAGAAACCGUAAAUUUCUGGCUACGAGGAAAAUAUGCUCUUUU